AGAGUUUGAUCAUGGCUCAGGACGAACGCUAGCGGCGUGCUAAAGAAAUGCAAGUCGAGCGAGGUUAGAGAGCUGCUCUCGAAGCCUAGCGGCGAACGGUCGCGUAACACGUAAGCAACCUGCCCCAAAGCGGGGGAUAGCCCUCCGAAAGGAGGAUUAAUACCCGCAUGUGGAUGGUUCUAUGCAUGUAGAUCUAUCUAAAGCAGCAAUGCACUUUGGGAUGGGCUUGCGGCCUAUCAGCUAGUUGGCGAGGUAACGGCUCACCAAGGCGACGACGGGUAGCUGGUCUGAGAGGAUGGUCAGCCGGACUGGGACUGAGAUACGGCCCAGACUCCUACGGGGGGCAGCAAUUAGGAAUCUUGCGCAAUGGGCGAAAGCCUGACGCAGCGACGCCGCGUGACUGAUGAAGUCUUUCGGGAUGUAAAGGUCUUUUUUGGGGGAAGAAGGAUGUGACGGUACCCCAAGAAUAAGCCCCGGCUAACUACGUGCCAGCAGCCGCGGUAAUACGUAGGGGGCGAGCGUUGUCCGAAUUCACUGGGCGUAAAGCGCGCGUAGGCGGACUUUUAAGUUGUGGGUGAAAUGCCGAGGCUCAACCUCGGAACUGCCUGCAAAACUGGGAGUCUUGAGGUAUGGAGAGGGAAGUGGAAUUCCAGGUGUAGCGGUGAAAUGCGUAGAUAUCUGGAGGAACACCCGUGGCGAAGGCGGCUUCCUGGCCAUAUCCUGACGCUGAGGUGCGAAAGCUAGGGGAGCGAACGGGAUUAGAUACCCCGGUAGUCCUAGCCGUAAACGAUGGAUACUAGGUGUUAGAGGUAUCGACCCCUCUAGUGCCGCAGCUAACGCAUUAAGUAUCCCGCCUGGGGAGUACGACCGCAAGGUUGAAACUCAAAGGAAUUGACGG
rnacentral:rRNA from 1 species